rnacentral:rRNA from 1 species
GAUGAACGCUAGCGGCAGGCCUAAUACAUGCAAGUCGAACGGUGCCUUCGGACAUAGUGGAGCACGGGCGAGUAACACGUAUGCAACCUACCUUACAUUGGGGGAUAGCCUACCGCAAGGGAGAUUAAUACCGCAUAAGACAGCAACUAGGCUUAUCGGAGCUGUUAAAGAUUUAACGAUGUAAGCUGGGCAUGCGUCCAAUUAGAGAGUGGGGGAGGUAACGGCUCACAAAGGCAAUGAUUGGUAGGGGAACUGAGAGCUCAAUCCCCCACACGGGAACUGAGAUACGGGCCAUACUCCUACGGGAGGCAGCAGUAGGGAAUAUUGGGCAAUGGACGCAAGUCUGACCCAGCCAUGCCGCGUGCAGGAUGAAGGCGUUAUGCGUCGUAAACUGCUUUUAUACAGGAAGAAACGACUCUUGCGAGAGGCAUUGACGGUACUGUAUGAAUAAGCACCGGCUAACUCCGUGCCAGCCGCCGCCGUAACAC